rnacentral:lncRNA from 1 species
GUGGUGUUGUCUGCGCAGGCGCCGUGUGCCCAGGCGCCUGGCGUCCGCGUCGGCGAUCCGGGGUCUGGGCGCGGCGAGGUCUGGUGUGGCAGAUGUGGAUAGCUGGACCCUCCUGGGUGCCUCUGCGUUAUGUCGUUUGGUUGAUGCAUUUGGAGAGAAUCUGUGCUCUCCACAACUGCAGGGGCAACAUGCUUUCCUGGCCUCUUCAGAUCAGGGUGGCUGUUCUUGGGUGCUGCACCAAAACUCCAGCAGUGGGCUUUCUUCAAGUGGCCGGCUCACCUCAUUCCUGCCAAGACCCAGGUCCGUGUUCUCACAGUGCUGCCAUCUUUCCUCCGUGUGAGCGUGGGCUGUGCGGAGAGUGGACCUCGGUGUGUGCGGGGCUGCGUGCACUGCCAUCGCUCCCUCUACACGAGCCGGCGUGGACCCAGGGCUGAGCUGUGACCACGAGGGCCAUCCCGACGAGCCGCCAUGGACCCAGGGCUGAGCUGUGACCAUGAGGGCUAUCCCGACGAGCUGCCGUGGACCCAGGGCUGAGCCGUGACCAUGAGGGCCAUCCCGAAACUGUGAUUGUUUUCUGGUAUGUGGGGGAUGUGCCAGAACCAGGGCUGAGCUGUGACCACGAGGGCCAUCCCGGAGCUGUGAUUGUUUUCUGGUGUGUGGGGAAUGUGCCAGCACUCACGUGGCUAUGGCUGCUUUUGCACCAUGGGUGCGUGUGCCAAACAGGAGAGCAGCUCUGCCCAGCAGAAGCCACUUAGAGGGUCUCAAGGGGUCUGCAGACCACCUGUAAGAACAACUUGUUCUGAGACGAGGGAGACCCCACCAUGCUGGGCAGAGCCCAGCUGGGGUGCGGUGGGGGGGCACACCCUGUCACGGCACCGCAGAAAUGAUGCUUGGUGGAUGGGACGGCAACGGGACCAGGACCCGCUGGCUGGGCUGUGUCUCCAUCUCAGCCCCUCUUUUUGCCAAUGCAAAACAGUUGAGUUUCACAAGGGCCUUGUGCGGAUGAGAAGUGCCCUGUGAUCUCACUGCCCACCUUCUCUCGCCUCUCAGCUUCAUUUCUGAAGUUUCCUGGGCCUCCCCGCUGCCUGUUCCCAGGGGAAGCAAAAAGGAGCUGGUAUUUGGGGCUGGAUAAGCAA